CUUUAUGGUGGCUGUGCGCAGGGCACCUUCGGGUGCGCCGGUGCCUAGCGGCCGGUCGACUAACCUGCGUACAGCCGCCACCUCU
rfam:Pseudomonas fluorescens SBW25 complete genome